GACAGAGGUGCCAAGCGUUUAGGCGGAAUCACUGGGCUUAAAGCGUGUGUAGGCGGAUCGUUAAGUACCUUGUGAAAUCCCACGGCUCAACCGUGGAACUGCUGGGUAUACUGGCGGUCUUGAGCCACCUAGGGGCAACUGGAACAAGCGGUGGAGCGGUGAAAUGCGUAGAUAUCGCUUGGAACGCCAACGGUGAAAACAGGUUGCUGGGGGUGUGCUGACGCUGAGAAGCGAAAGCAUGGGGAGCGAACAGG
rnacentral:rRNA from 1 species